UACGUAGGGGGGCAAGCGUUGUCCGGAUUUACUGGGCGUAAAGAGCGUGUAGGCGGCCAAGCAGGUCCGUUGUGAAAACUGGAGGCUUAACCUCCAGACGUCGACGGAAACCGCGUGGCUAGAGUCCGAAGAGGAGAGUGGAAUUCCUGGUGUAGCGGUGAAAUGCGCAGAUAUCAGGAAGAACACCAAUGGCGAAGGCAGCUCUCUGGGACGGUACUGACGCUGAGACGCGAAAGCGUGGGGAGCGAACAGG
rnacentral:rRNA from 1 species